GUUGUUGCAGUUAAAAGCUCGUAGUUGAAUUUCGGGGUUAGUAGGUUGGUCAUGCCUCUGGUAUGUACUGGUCUCACUGAUUCCUCCUUCCUGAUGAACCGUAAUGCCAUUAAUUUGGUGUUGCGGGGAAUUUGGACUGUUACUUUGAAAAAAUUAGAGUGUUUAAAGCAAGCUAACGCUUGAAUACAUUAGCAUGGAAUAAUGAAAUAGGACGUUCGAU
rnacentral:rRNA from 1 species